GGGGCCCGUGUAGGUUUCCAUUACUCGUCUUCACACUUUACUCCUUCGUCUUCCAUUCGCAAUUCUUCUCGGUUUACUUCCUCUCAAUUCGUCUUCAUCCCUCGCAACUAGUCUUCAAUCUCUGAACACCACUUCAUCUUAAAGUCGUUUAAUCCUUCCCAUCGAAAUCAUCCACUCUCUUCAAUCCUUGUAACGACAUUGAUUUCAAUUUAAUUUUUGAAAAAACUUUUUCCUUUUUUCCUCAACUCACCUUCAACGUAUUUCGGUUGUUCUUUGGUCGUCGUUUUCUUCUUGGUAAAAAACCUAUCUUCCUCUAAUUUUCUCUCUCCCACUCUUCGCCCUCCCAAUUUUCGUUGAAGGCUUCACUCACAGUGUUGCCUCCGAAACAAAUGGGUCUUCUGUCGGUUUCGUUGAACGGUUGUGUUUUACAUUUUGCCUCGGUUUUUCCCUUCCACAUGACCUUGCCGCUUGGACUUCCAUUUGCCGAUCGAGUAUUUUUUUUCCUCUGAUUUGAACACAUUCUACACUACGGAUACUAUCACCCACUGCAUUUGGGAUGUUCGAGCAAGGUAGGGUUGGAGGUAAGUGGUUGGAUUUCGAGUUUCUGUCUUCGCCAAUGACGAGGAUUAGAUUAUGCACUGUCUAAAUAAUUUUUUGUGAUUAUUUCUGUUCCGUGAAUAAUUAUUUGUAAUCGUUUUUGUUUUUUACUUCUAUUGUUUUUCAUAUUCUGUCAUCCCCAUUUGAAACUACACUGAUGUUGUUUACUUUCCACGUUUCUGAUUACUUUUGUUCCUUUGUAGUUUUUUUAAAUAACUUCUGUUUAUGUGCUUCGGUAAAAAAAUUAUUUGAAUUUCUUUUGUUUCUUCCUUCAAUUUACGUCCACAUAACUUAUGUAAUGGUGUUCUUUGUGUUUCAUGUUUUUUAUUACAUUUGUUCGUUUGAAUUAUACUUGUUUUUGUUAGUGUACUUCGGUGAAAAAUUAUUUCUAAGCAGUUUUGUUUCUUAGUUUAAUUUCCUGCCAUAUUGUUUAAAUUUUGCUCAUCCUUGUUUCAACAUAUGUCCUUGUUUGCCAUGUUUCUAAUUUGUUUUGUUGGUUUCACUUUCUUGUUGCUACUGUGCCUAGCAAUUUGAACACAUUUUCGACCAUUUUUUGAAUUGGAUCCCUCAUAAAUAUGUUGACAUAUUUAUUUAAUUUGGCAUUUGACUAACUAUGUUCACAGUUCCUACUUACUUACAAUUAAGAUGCCUUCUGAAUUUGCUUUGCUGAGAAGUCUUUUCUCUUUAUUUGCAAGCAACUGUAUAUUCUGUUUCUUUCUCUUUAUUUCUAAGCAAAUCUCAUCCAUCCAUCCAUUAAACUGCACUGUCUAUGUUCAUUUCUUUUUUUUUUUUUUGUUAUCCAUUUGUCUACUCAUAGCUUAUCUUUGUCUUAAUGUGGUAGGUUUUAACUAUGUGCUCCCCUUUUCUGUACAGUUUUGUAAUUUGCAGAGAUUCCCUUUCUUUUUUUUUUUUGGUAUGAGUGAAUAAAGGCAUACUUUAUUCACCCUCUAACCCUCUAUAUAUAGCACUUCCUUUUUGUAUUUUAUUGUGUUGUUUUCCUUGCUUCCUUUUCUGUUUUUUUUUUUUUAUUUGGUAUGUAAUUUAACUUUGUUUUCUUCUUUUGAAGUUCCAUUUGGUCUUCUUUUUUCUUUUGUCAUAUCUAUGUUAAGAAGAAUCUGUUAUGUUUAAAGAAUAUUUAUGGGCCAUUACUUUCUUCUUCUUGUGAAGGAUAUACCUUCUUAUACACAAACUUAGGCACUGCCAUAGCCUACUUUUCAUGAUUUCAUUCCUUCACAUACUCGAUAUACUCAACCUCUUCAAUUCAUUGUUUGUGAUUUGUGGGGUAUGACUCAUAAUUUGUCUCGGAAUAGUUUUUGAUACUAUAUUGGUUUUAUGGAUGUCAAUAGUCAUUAUCUAUGGAUUUUCUUUGAUCUCCAAUCCAAAUCUAAGGCCUUUUUCGGCUUUUCUUAAAUUUAAAAGUCUGGUUGAAAGUUUGUUGGAAACUCAUCUUGUACGACUAUAAACUGAUGGUGGUAGUGAGUUUAAACCUCUUUACCUCUCUUAUCACAAGAUGACAUUGAACAUCGUUUAACGUGUCCUCAUACUUCACAACAAAAUGACUUAAUUGAAAGAAAGCAUAGAAACAUAGUUGACAUGGGUCUCACUCUACUGUCUCAAUCUUUUUUUACCUCUUACCUUUUGGGAUGAAGUUUUUUCCACCGCUGUCUACCUGAUAAACAGUCUUCCUACUCCAGUUCCUAAUCAUGUCAGCCCUUUGGAAAAGUUGUUUGGCCUCAAACCCAAUUAUUCUUCAUUAGUGUUUUUGGCUGCAAGUAUUUUCCUAAUUUACGUCCUUUAAAUUCUCACAAGCUAUCUUUUAGAUCCAACUCAUGCACAUUUAUUGGCUAUAGUAACUCCCAUAGGGUUACAAAUGCUUAUUGCCUAAUGGUCUUCUCUGCAUUUCUCGUCAUGUUUUAUUUUAUGAAUAAUAUUUUCCCUAUGCUGCUAUAAACCCACACUUAUCAUCCUCCCUCACUCCUACUACUAUCUCCCUUCCACCUUUUUCUUCCAUCAUUGCACCCACCCCUAAGGACCAUAAUAAAGUUUUGCACAACUCUGCUCCAAUUCUUAAUAAUUUUGAGAAUCCAAAUUCUAUUAAUGUGUGCCCUUUAGAUUUAGGUUCUAAUGCAGUUUUGCAGGACCAUGAUGAUCCUCCUUCCAAGGAAUUACAAAACUUUAUCCUUAUUGGCUCCUUCCCAUGUUGAUGCUCCCCAUGUUAUCAAUACUCAUUCUAUGAUGACUCGAAGUAAAUGUGACAUUUUUAAACCUAAGGCGUAUUCAGUUGAUUACACACAACAUGAACCAUGUGAUGUUAAAGAGGCUCAUAAACACCCUCAUUGGAAGAAAGCCAUGGAAGAUUAAUAUACUGCCUUGAUGAACAACAACACUUGGAACUUAGUCCCUAGGUCAGUUGACAAAAAAAUCAUUGGGUGCAAAUGAGUUUUCAAAAUCAAAAGAAACUCUGGUGGUUGGGUUACUCAUUACAAGGCCCGCUUAGUGGCCAAAGGUUUCUAUCAAACACCCAAUAUUAACUAUAUGGAGACCUCCAGUUCGAUUGUCAAACCAUUACCAUUCGGGUUCUCUUGACUCUUUCUCUCAUGAAAGGUUGGUCCAUUAGUUAGCUUGAUGUAAAUAAUGUUUUUCUUCAUUGUUACAUACAUGAAUCUGUUUUUAUGGAACAACCAUCUGGAUUUCAUGUCUCUACCGCUCCACCAAUGAUAUGUCACCUCAUGAAGCCUUAUAUAGCCUAAAAUAGGCUCCUCGUGCAUGAUGACUCGGCUUCAGACCCUGAUGACAGAAAAUCCACUUCUGGCUUUUGUGUCUAUCUUGGUGGUAACUUAAUCUCGUGGGGCUCCAAGAAACAAUCUAUAAUCUCUCGUUCAAGAACAGAAGCAGAGUAUCAUUGUCUUACUCUUGUGACUACUAAAAUGGUAUGGAUUCGUUCUCUUGCCAAUCAUGGAAUGAUAUAUAUAAAAAGCUCAGGUUUUCUCUUGCCAAUCUUUCCUCUUCUACAAUGUUAUUUUAUUCUUAAGUAGGAAAACUUAAAUCAUAAGUCAAAUACUUAGUGAGUGAUGCAUUUUGAAAACCUUUUAGGCAUACAAUCUGAAAAGUCAUUUUCAUAAAACAAGCUUUAACGCCUCAUUCCAUAAAUCACAAAUAAUUCAUUAGCCUAGAUGUGUCCUGAUGCAAUGAGGGAAAGAAAUAGCCUACGCAUCUAGACAAUUGAAAUUGCAUGAACUCAAUUACCUUACGCACGAUUUAGAAUUGGUAGCCAUUGUCCAUGUGUUGCAAAGAUUUGAAGGCACUAUCUAUUUGGAGAGAAGUGUAACAUUUUCAUUGAUCACCAAAGCUUGAAGUGCAUAUUUGAUCAGAAAGAACCAAAUUUAAAGUAGAGACAUUGGAUGAAGCUCAUUAAUGAUUAUGAUUGCACCAUUAAGGAUUAUGAUUACACUAUCACAUACCAUCCUGAAAUAGUCAAUUUAGUAGUUGAUACAUUAAGGGGAAAAAAAAAAAAGCUCAACUAAGGGAAGCUAGUCUUGCUAAAGAAUUGAGAAAUUGUAAGGCCAUCUUGAACGCAUGAUCAGUUGAGAAUUUAAUAGCUUGAUUUUAAGUUAAACCCAAAAUGGAAGAAGAUAUUUUUUAAUAGAAACCUAAAGAUCCUGUGUUGAGAAAGUUGGCAUAAGAAGUAAGGGUUGAAAGAUGAUCAGAUUACACGUUCAGAGGUAAUGGCACGUUACGAAAGGAAAAGAGAUUAUGUGUUCCCUAUAAGAAGGCAAUGAAGGAAAUUAUCUUAGAAGAAGCUCAUAUUUCUCUUAUGGAAUGCAUCCUGGAAGUACUAAGAUGUAUAGAACUCUGAAUGCCUAUUAUUGCCAAGUAUGCGAUGAGAAAUAGUUGAAUUUGUGGCUAAAUGUUUGAUUAUUUGUCAACAAGUCAAACUGCAACGCCAAAAACUUGGAGGAUUAUUGUGCCCUUUUCCAAUUCCAAUAAUGUAAAGAAUACAUUAUGAUACACUAUGAAACUAUGAGUUACUAUUUGAAAUACUGAUUUUUUUAUAAUUGAUUAUAAGGUUGCUUAACAAAUUGACUUGUUUAGUAGCAAUUGCUGAAAGAACGCACACACUAGGUGUUUUCGUCUAACCUUUCAAACUUUUGUUUUAUCUCCCUCAAGUAGCAAAGAACAUCAAGUGUUGAACUUGCAGUCGUGAUCACCUUUUGUGCCUUAUACUCACAUCAUUUUUGUAGUGGCCACUGUCUUUUCGCAUAAUAUCUAGGAGUUAGGCAAGCAUAGUCUAGUAAGUCUGUAUUAUGUUUUUUUAGGGGACUUGGGUACCCAAGAUCAAAUGUACUAGUAUAGCCGUUAUUAAUGAAAUGUUCUAAUUUUCUUUAAAAUUA